ACCCCCGUAGCUCAACUGGAUAGAGCAAGCGGUUUCUACCCGCUAGGUUGCAGGUUCAAAUCCUGCCGGGGGUA
rfam:Candidatus Buchananbacteria bacterium RIFCSPHIGHO2_02_FTLL_56_16 rifcsphigho2_02_scaffold_14921, whole genome shotgun sequence.